AACGCAUCUUGCGCUCCUUGGUAUUCUGAGGAGCAUGCCUGUUUGAGUGUCAUUUUAAUAUCUCAACCACAUUCAUUUUGUGGCUUGGACUUGGAGGAACAAUGCAGGCUCUGACUUCUUUGUAGUCUGCUCCUCUGAAAAACAUGAGUGGUACCUAUAUUGGAACUCUGGCUAGGUGUGAUACAUAUCUGCAUCUAAUCGAGGUUGCCUGUCGGGUUAUGCUGCUGAUUAUUAUGACUUUGAUAAACUUGACCUCAAAUCAGGUAGGACAACCCGCUGAACUUAA
rnacentral:misc_RNA from 1 species